CUUAGGAAACUGAAAACAUAUUUUUAUAGUUUUAAAAAGCUUCUGUUUUCUUUCUUCCGAAGGGUAACAUUUCUCUGGCUUCUGAACUUCUGCAGUAACAGGAUCUUCAAAGCAGGAUUUAUCUCCAACCCUUUCACACACAACCAGGCACAAAGCCGUGUUCUUCACCUUGAAGCUGGGACACAGGAAGCGCCGUAGCUUGAUUGUCAGCCUCCUCAAGCAUCCCCAGGACCCUUCAUAAAUGGAACGAACUCGAGCUGGCUCAACCGCUUGUUUUAAAAGUGUGUCUUUCUAGGAAAUAUUUGUUCUGCCAUUCCCCCCACAGUUUUACGAAAUAAAUCACGUUGUGCUUGGAAUCGUC